rnacentral:rRNA from 1 species
CUGCCAAGGGCAUGGCUGGGUAGCUAUGUACGGAAUGGAUAAGCGCUGAAAGCAUCUAAGCGCGAAGCCAACUUCAAGAUAAGAUUUCCCACCGCAAGGGUAAGACCCCAGAAAGACUAUCUGGUUGAUAGGUCGAAGGAGUAAGUGCAGCAAUGUAUUUAGCUUAUCGAUACUAAUAGGUCGAGGACUUGACCAAU